rfam:Picea glauca, whole genome shotgun sequence.
ACAUGCCUACAACAUAGAAUUAAUGCACUGGAUCCCAUUAGAACUCCAUAGUUAAGCGCACUCAGGAUAGAGUAGUACUGGGAUGGGUGAUCACCUGGGAAGUAUUAAUGUUUUACAUGCC